rnacentral:lncRNA from 1 species
CCGGGAUUGGCGGGCGUGGCCCAGCCCGGAGCUUCAUUCACAAAAAUUCGAUGAAACAAAGGAGCGGGCGAGCGGGGCGGUGAGCGGGGCGAUGGGCCAAUGGGCGGCCGCCCCCGGGAGGGGCGGGGUCGCGCCGGGCUCCGCGUGGGCCACGCGCCGCCGGUGCGGGUCGGGGCCGCUGUCCCGGGCCGGGGGCUCGGCUCGGCUCGGCUCGGCUCGCAUCACUCCGGCCCAUAUCCCCAGUUUGGGAGCUCGCAGCCCGUGCCGGGCGGCGAGAGCGCCGGGGGCGGGGGCGGGGUGUCCCGUGGUGGCCGCUGGCCCAGGCAGGUGGGAGCCGGCCCGCCGCGACCCCCCCGCUGUGUCCCCCGCAGGUGGCAGCCGAGAGGCAGCGCCCGGCGGCGGGAUGAAGGGCUUCCCGGACCAGCAGGUACCCUUCAUGCUCCCGCAGCAGCCUCCGGGCCAGGCGGCCCCCGGUGGCCAAGCUCCCAUGGGCGCUAGGAAGAGACCCGGGACCCCGGGCUUGCCCCCGGCGCAGGGCUCGGAAGAUAAUUCUUUGAAGGGACCUUCCUGUGGAAUUUGCACGCUGUUCAGUUUGGUGUCUGAAUUGGUUUGCCUUCAAAGAAGAGGGAAAAUUCAAAUCCCAGGGAGUCCUGUUAAUUCCAAGUUAAACCAUCUUUUAACAGCAUGGGGAAUUUGUUCUGAUUCUACUAUCACAAAUGAUCCAUUUUCUAGAAAAUUCAAAACACAUCCUCAAGUACAGACUCUUGAUAAAUAUAAAAGCACUUACUGUGAUGUAGGUACUUAA